rnacentral:rRNA from 1 species
GACGAACGCUGGCGGCGUGCUUAACACAUGCAAGUCGAACGCUGAAGCACCAGCUUGCUGGUGUGGAUGAGUGGCGAACGGGUGAGUAAUACGUGAGUAACCUGCCCUUGACUCUGGGAUAAGCCCGGGAAACUGGGUCUAAUACUGGAUGCUACAUGUCACCGCAUGGUGGUGUGUGGAAAGGGUUUACUGGUCUUGGAUGGGCUCACGGCCUAUCAGCUUGUUGGUGAGGUAAUGGCUCACCAAGGCGACGACGGGUAGCCGGCCUGAGAGGGUGACCGGCCACACUGGGACUGAGACACGGCCCAGACUCCUACGGGAGGCAGCAGUGGGGAAUAUUGCACAAUGGGCGAAAGCCUGAUGCAGCGGCGCCGCGUGAGGGAUGACGGCCUUCGGGUUGUAAACCUCUUUCAGCAGGGAAGAAGCCACAAGUGACGGUACCUGCAGAAGAAGCGCCGGCUAACUACGUG